rnacentral:lncRNA from 1 species
UUCUAUUUUUUCUCUCUUUUAGUUUUUCUCUCAAUUUUUUUUCUCAAUUUCUCGGCAUUAUUUUCUUUUUUUCUAUUUUCUCUUUUAUCUUUUUUGCAGCGUUUUUCCUCAAUUUUUUUCCAAUUUUUCUUUUUUCAUUUUUCUUAUUUUUUCUCAAUUUUAUAUUUUCCUUUUUCAAUUUUUAAUUUUUUUUCUCUUUCCUUUUUGCCUCUUUUUCCUCUAUUUUCUUCUCUUUUUUCCUCUAUUUUUUCCUGUAUUUUCUUUUUCUCUUUUUUCCUCUAUUUUCUUCUCUUUUUUCCUCUAUUUUCUUUUUCUAUUUUUUCCUCUAUUUUUCCUCUAUUUUCUUUUUUUUUCCUCUAUUUUUUCCUGUAUUUUCUUUUUUCUCUUUCUUUCCUCUAUUUUCUCUUCCUAUUUCCUCGCCUGGUUCUUCUCCAUCUCCUCCUCGUCUGUCUCUUCCCUCCGCCGUCUCCUCGGGCUCUCUCUCCCCUCAGGCUGCUGCCGCAUCUACCGCGUCCUUUCCGCGCCGCGGAGCCUCCGGAGCGCUCCCUCAGCCCGUGCCCGGAGCUCCGGAACGGGCCCUAAAGCGGCUUUAGGGGCUGCUCUAAAGAAUGAAAGCGCUUUAGGAGCGUUCUAGAAGCAAGAAACCAGCUUUAAGAGCUGCAGCGAGGAAGAAAUCUGCUUUAGGAGCUCUUCUUCCUCCCACGAAAGCCGCUCGGAAAGGGGGGUUUCCCUGAGGCGCUCGCCCCGGCUUCUCUAACCCAGCGAAUCGCGGCGGUUUAAGCGCUGGCAAAAGAACCUGCUCCUCAAAGCAAGCAGCCGGGGAAGCUCCGGAGGCGGAAAAGUGGAGAAA